rnacentral:misc_RNA from 1 species
GAUGAAGAACGUAGCGAAAUGCGAUAAGUAAUGUGAAUUGCAGAAUUCAGUGAAUCAUCGAAUCUUUGAACGCACAUUGCGCCCGCCAGUAUUCUGGCGGGCAUGCCUGUUCGAGCGUCAUUACAACCCUCAGGCCCCCGGGCCUGGCGUUGGGGAUCGGCGGAAGCCCCCUGCGGGCACAACGCCGUCCCCCAAAUACAGUGGCGGUCCCGCCGCAGCUUCCAUUGCGUAGUAGCUACCACCUCGCAACUGGAGAGCGGCGCGGCCACGCCGUAAAACACCCAACUUCUGAAUGUUGACCUCGAAUCAGGUAGGAAUACCCGCUGAACUUAAGCAUAUCAAUAAGCGGAGGA